GAUUCAGAAUAUCAGAAGGUAGUGUAAGCCCUGUGACUAAAAGCUGCAUUGCAUUGGCUCUGCAGGGCGAGUGGCAGCACCACCGAUGUGGCAAACACGGAAACUGGCACAGCCUGGGCACUGUGUCCCCCCUGCUUCACAGGCACUUGAACCAUUGCUUCUGGAGAAAUGCACAGGUAGACUCCUGCUUAGUAACUAAGCAACCACAUCCUCCAUUUCUAACUCACACAUUUUGAUCCUACCAGAGGAUUUGCUUUGGCAAAGUUUACAUUGAAUCAAUUGUAGAUCUGCAGUUCAAGACUGAAAUGUGCUUGUUAUAAAAUCAUGAAUUAAAUACUUCAGAGAAUAAUUGGAG
rnacentral:lncRNA from 1 species